rnacentral:snoRNA from 1 species
UUUAAAAUUCGAGCAAUUGGCCGUAGAUUAAACUAGUACCAUGGGUCUCUUUUGGACAGUCUACUGUUCAUGUAAUGGGAGGUCUGUGGUAUUCUCAGCUUUAAAACCAUCGCUGUUAGAGGUUGCUUCUGAAUUAUGUUUGGUUAAGCGAUCCAUGAAAUGGUGAUGACCUAGAGUCUGGAACAUCA